GAAAUGCGAUAGCUAGUGUGAAUUGCAGAUUUUAGUGAAUCAUCGAGUCUUUGAACGCACAUUGCGCCCUUUGGUAUUCCUCAGGGCAUGCCUAUUCGAGCGUCGUUUCGACCUCGAGCGUAGCUUGGUGUUGAGGACUGUCGCCCCGGCGGCAUCCUUUAAAAGCAUUGGCGGCAGCGCAGCUCAAUCGCAACAAAAUGCGUGCAAAGCUGUUGAUUGUUUGCCAUAACACCCCCCCUUCACAGGGUUUUUUACAGCUCGACCUCGAAUUAGGCAGGGAUACCCGCUGAACUUAA
rnacentral:misc_RNA from 1 species